UGCUCUAUUUUUAUCCUCAGGAUUAGGCCUAUAUUUAUUCACAACUGAGACAAGGGGUGCACAAACCUUGUCUUUUUGUGGUUGUACUAAGAAGAAGACAAGGUUGACAAUCCCAAGAUCAGUUAGAAUACCUUGCAUCUAACACACGACUUCAUUGGAGAAGAAUAAUACUUUCCCAAAACAAUGUAAAGAACUUCAGGAAAGACACCUCAGGGAGAUGAGUGAGGCUGUGAAAGGGAGAAGUCAGGCCCUGGGACAUCUUGCAGCUGCCAGACAAUCAUCUGACAGUGAUGGUGAGGUAGACUCUCCAAGCCCAAGUUAUAGGGUGUCAAACAGUACAGAGACUCAGUGACUCAGAAGAGAAGACAGAAGCCUGAGGAAGUGCACUUCAGAUGCUUGGAGGACAAGGCACAACCAUCCAUCGCUUGUCCUCAACUUGCCGUGCUAAUGAACUGUGAUCAGUAUUGACGCUACGUAUUGAGUUUUCCAUCUCCUGUUUUAUCAAGCACUCAUUGGAAAAUAAUUGCUGCAGGCACCUGCCAUGAAAACAACUCAUGUGAUUCAUAUCCGGUGGACUCUUUUUCUUUCCCGUUCAACAUAACAAGAGGGCUUCUAGUUACCUCUGUCUUUUCUGACCCUAAUGUUUUACUUGCAUCUUAGCAAGCUUUAGAUUCGUAUUAAUGUAAACCAUAUGAAAGAAUUUUGUUGCUAUUAAUUCCAGGAUCUUAACACACAUUCUUGUAAUUUUCUCUCUAUUUAUUCCUCCUGUAUAGUGGUUACUAAUACCAGCAGGGAUACGUCAGGCAAACAGAGGUAGAUAACCAAAUAUUGUACUUUACUAGGCAAACAUUCUUCCUCUUCAGGCAUAGAUAUUGAUAGAGACCAGUUGUGCAGUCAAACAUGAUCACAUGAUAUUCUGUUUUCUAGUGACCUGACUCUUCAUAUCUAUGGGAGAGAUGAAGGAAAUAAAAGAAAAUGACGCUCACUUCAUUUCCUCGUUUCUUUAGAACCACACAAUCAUGAUGCAACAACAAGAAACUGGGUAACAACAUGAAUGUCAUCUUUGAUCUGCUAAUAGGAUAAUUUUAUUAACCAAAUUAUGUAAUGCCAUAAGAAAGAUAAAAAUUUAGACUGGAUGUCAGGAAAUGUUUCUUGAUAAUAGGAAAUAUUUGAUUAAUAGAAAGUCUCUGAGGAGAAUGGAUAGAAAGAAGUUCUGCCACUCAGGACAUUUCAAAUUAGAUCUAAGCCAGAAAAAUGGAAGCUGGGCUUUGUUUACAUCUACAUGUCUCUUGGGCUUUCCUUAUCCAGAUCAUCCAAUCUAUGAGUGAGAAUAUUCUAUGUUAAUCUGGACAACACUGUACAGUAAGCAGGUUGUUGAUGGCAAUAUUCUUCUAAUACUAACUGCACUUUCCAAUUUCGGAAUGAAGGCCAUCUUUGCAACACAAUUCAAAAGGAAUGGUUUCACUGAAACUAGGAAAACAAAAGGAUUUACAAUAUACUGUGGCUUAAGGCCUGGGCCUUUUCUUACAUCCUUUAUAUAUGUCCAUCAUGACUUUGAAGUUGACUGUGAGGCAAGAUCUCCUCUUUUCCAUAAGGACUUUCAGUCAGCUUCUGAGAGUAUACGGGUAAUCUCUUUCAGGAUUUAAAAAGCCAUCCCUUACUGAACACAUUGAUGCACAGCUGUUUUGCUCUUACGCAUCGAUUUGCAGCACUCUUUACAUAGAAAGGCUCAUUGGAUUGCAGCGCCCACUCUGUGAGAUACAUAGCAGGCCUAUUUCUUUAACCUUCCACUUUAAUCCUUAUGUGAGUUCUUGAAUACGUUCAUAUGUUUAAAUAUUUAAACAAGGAAGAAAUGCAAAAUAAAAAGUUAAAGUCUUUUCUCUCGCACACUUACCAUCCACACUCAAGACUGGUAUGUAUCAUUUCGGAACCUAUUCUUUUAAUAACUUACACAUACACUUACAUGCACAAGCAACAUGUUUUUGACUUAAAUAGAAUCAUUCUAUUUUUAUUGUUCUGUAUCUUUCUGUUUUCCAUUAACAGUGUAUCUUUGAGAUUUUUUUCCCGACUAAAACAUAUGAAUCUAUGUCAUUCUUUAAAAAUACUACAUAGUCUUCAAAAUAUUGGCAUUAUUUAUAUAGUCAUUUCUUAAAUUAGCAGACAUUAUUUCUAAUUUUUCACUUGUACAAAGAAUGUGGUAAUGAAUAUUCUUGUUUCUGUAUUUUAUGCCUGAGCAUGAACAUUUUAUAAUACCAUAUAGCAUUUCCUAUAUGCCAGGCAUUAUUCUUUGCAUUUUGCAAAUAUUAUUUUAUUUAUUCCUUACAACAUGCUUAUGAAGCAGAUACUGCUAUCAUCCCUAGGUGAGUAAACUGAUGCAGGAAGAGGCUGAUUUUACCUGCCUACAAUGGUAGCUGGGAUGUAAACCCCAGCAUACUAGUACAGAAUGUAGGCUUCUCAGGUUCUGCUGUAUCUACAAUGGUAGCUGGGAUGUAAACCCCAGCAUACUAGUAGAGAAUGUAGGCUUCUCAGGUUCUGCUCUAUCUCCAGUAUAGCAAUAUUUUUCAGUAUUUGUUGCUCCUACAAUUGGAACCCUUUUUCCAUGAAAUAUUCUAAUUGGCUAUUACUGGUUUAUUUGAAAACUAUUUAUUUUCAAAUAUCAAUAUUGUAGUGAAUAUUUGUAUGAAACUUACUCAUGAUUUAAUCAUUUUGGUUGUUUGCUAUGAUUUGUUUUAAAAAGGUUCAUUGGGAUAUAACUUACACCUACUGUAAAAUCUGCCUGUUUUAAGUACACAAUUGAUAACUUUUAGUAAAUUUACCAAGGUAUGCAACUAGUACUAUUAACUAAUUUUAGAACAUUUUUAUAACUCUGAUGAGAUUUAUCUUGCCUCUUCAUAGUGAAUUCAUUCCUGUCUUCAACCCCAAGCAGCCCCCAGUGUACUUUAUGUCUCUAUAGAUUUGCCUUUUCUGAACAUUUCAUUUAAAUGUAAUCAUGUAAUAUGUAGCCUUUUCUAUCUGGUUUCCUCUAUUUGGCAUAAUGUUUUUGACAUUUAUUCAUGUUAUAGAAUGUCAAAGUAUUUUGUUGCCUUUUAUU